GAUGAACGCUAGCGGCAGGCCUAAUACAUGCAAGUCGAACGGUGUCUUCGGACAUAGUGGCGCACGGGUGCGUAACACGUAUGCAACCUACCUUACAUUGGGGGAUAGCCUUUCGAAAGGGAGAUUAAUACCGCAUAAGACAGUAGCUGGGCAUCCAGCAGCUGUUAAAGAUUUAUCGAUGUAAGCUGGGCAUGCGUCCAAUUAGCUAGUUGGUGAGGUAACGGCUCACCAAGGCAAUGAUUGGUAGGGGAACUGAGAGGUCAAUCCCCCACCCUCGUACUGAGAUACGGGACAGAUUCCUAGGGUAGGCAGCAGUAGGGAAUAUUGGGCAAUGGACGCAAGUCUGACCGAGCCAUGCCGCGUGCAGGAUGAAGGCGUUAUGCGUUGUAAACUGCUUUUAUACAGGAAGAAGCGACUCUUGCGAGAGGCAUUGACGGUACUGUAUGAAUAAGCACCGGCUAACUCCGUGCCAGCCGCCGCGGUAAGAC
rnacentral:rRNA from 1 species